rnacentral:rRNA from 1 species
GACGAACGCUGGCGGCGUGCCUAACACAUGCAAGUCGAGCGAAUGAAGUUCCUUCGGGAACGGAUUUAGCGGCGGACGGGUGAGUAACACGUGGGCAACCUGCCUCAUAGAGGGGAAUAGCCUUCCGAAAGGGAGAUUAAUACCGCAUAAGAUUGUAGUACCGCAUGGUACAGCAAUUAAAGGAGCAAUCCGCUAUGAGAUGGGCCCGCGGCGCAUUAGCUAGUUGGUGAGGUAACGGCUCACCAAGGCGACGGAUGCGUAGCCGACCUGAGAGGGUGAUCGGCCACAUUGGGACUGAGACACGGGCCCAGACUCCUACGGGAGGCAGCAGUGGGGAAUAUUGCACAAUGGGGGAAACCCUGAUGCAGCAACGCCGCGUGAGUGAUGACGGCCUC